UAGAGAGGGCAGUUAGCUGCUGGCAAGGGAAACAGCAACAUCAGCUGACUGAGAUUCUGCUCAGGGAUCUGGAGGUGUGGCAGGUGAGUGGAGCAAGCAGACUGUCCAGAGACAGAGGAAGACUGGAGGUGGAGACCUGGCUGGGAAGAUCAAACAACCAAUUGAUAGUCCUUCAACAUCCCAGGAGGCAUUGCUCCCAGGCCAGGUGGAUUAGCUGUCCUCCUGGACUCUGAAGCUGCCUCCCAUCCCAUCCCUUACCACAGUGACAACCUGGACAGAGGAGCUGCAGCUGAAAAUCAUCCAGGCAACCACCUGGAAGCACCUUACUGUAGCUUUUCAAAAUGCUCACUGGAAGACGAGACGACUCCCUCCUCCCCUCAAGAACUUAUCCAGUUGGGUCACCUGGUUGACCAGCCUGAACCAAAAAGAAAGCAAGUGGGAGAAAAGGGUCUACCUGAAAUGAUCCAAACUAGGGGCAGAGAGAGGGGAAUUUCCUCACACCCUAAUCCCAGGGACCUUGGCCUACAGGUCAGCAUAUGAUGUAGGCUCUCUCAGAGUUCAGGAUACCAAGGCUUCCAGGAUUUCCAGGUCUUCAGACACCAUCAAGUGCACUGCCCCAUGUUUCAGGCCUCCAUCUUCUGUGAGCUAUGUGGUCCCCUUUAUCUGCUGGGAUAAGAAGUCUCAGGGGCAUCUUAGAAGUCCUUGGAAACAUUUUGAAAAGGUUGAAGUGUGGUUCCCAGUGAACUUCUAUAAUUUCAUUUUUUUUCCUGAGGGUAUUUUUUUUUCUUUUAAGUUUUAGAAUUUCCAAAGAAAUAGGGAGUCUUUAUUUCUAGUCAACUGUUGUGCACAGUAAUUAAGGCAAUCUAGCCAAUAACUAAGGUUGUUCAUCCAUAGAACUAAAUGAUGGGGAGGUGCAUUGUGAAAAAAAUUAGAAUGUGAUCAUGUAAUUACCAGCUGCUAACAAAUGUAUAUUCACAAGGGAGCUGAGCUAUCGUUCUGAAUGCAACCUUAAAUCUGAUGUCUGGAUGCUGCCAUGCAGUCAGAUGAACACAGACAUUUGGUUUCCCAGGGACAAGUAACAGCAGCACAUGUUGUGCCACAGCUACUUCUCCCCGGGGAAUGCCCAUGCCAUGUAUACUUUGGCACGCAGCAAGGUACCCUGGGGGAGGUAGGGACUGUGCUGGCCCCAGCAGCCUUACCUGGGGUCUCAUCAGGGCUGCAGCUGUGUUGAUCAUGCCUGGCAGAGCGGCCUAGCAGCUGCAGUGAGGCUUCAGGUGGUCUGGCUCCACUUCUCAGUGGCACAUGCUGCCCAUGUGUGAACUACUUCAAUUUUUUUUCCUGUGGUUCUUUUUGUUUGUUUGUUUGUUUGAGGGUUUUUUGACCCUUGGAUUUGCAGGGGUAAAAAAACCUGGACCAAUGCACGCAUGGGCAGUGUGUCCUCAGUGCGAAGAACACCUGACUAUGUGGUGCCACAUACCACAUAGCCACUCUCAUCUGGACACCCACCAUGAGUUUAUGUACUUAAUUUUUUUUCCCAUUCACCUUGGAAGAAGCAGUUCUGAAGAAUGGGAAUGGGUGAAUUUAAUAUAUUCUGGACAAUUCAAAAGCAAAGGGAUAUUUUGUUUUGUAGAAGCACAGUGAAAGCACUAGGCAAACUUAACUUUCCAAACAGUGAAGUCAUUUUAUCUGACUCCUUUUCUGAAAUUUAUCUGGGAUUUCUAACACUAGGAUGGAAAUGUGGCAAGAUUUUCUACCAGGAUUUUAAUACUUCUUACCCAGUCUCAGUUGUAUAAAAAACACAAGAGCAUACUAAAAUGAAACAUUAUAAUGAUGUACAUUUCUGGAGGUUUUGUUGAGAGUUCAUAUUUGAGGCUUCAUAAUCGCAUGUUCUUGCAUUCUUUUACCUAAAAUUUGUCAAAACUGAUCUGAAUCUUUUAGGUCUUGGCGUCUUCCUAUAACUCUCAUGAGAACAUGCCUGUAAACUGCUUCUGUAUAUCGAUGGAAAACAAUAUAUGGUGACUUGUUCUACUUAGAACAUCAUCUCUAACUUAAUAUUGUAUUCAAUAUGCCUAUUGUUAAAAGCAGUAGAGAUUAUAUAAUAUUUUCUACUACUGGUGAAACGGAACUGAAGGGCAAUAGCACAAGGAUGAAAAUAGUGAAAAUAGGAAGAAUGAAAUAGCGCAAGGAAUAAUAAUGGAAGUUUGAAUAUUAUGAAGAAGGAUGGCAAAAGCUGAAAUUUUCUUGGAAGGUAUUGAAGGUGGGAUAACUGGAAUGGUACUUGAAGCAAUUAAUAGCUGCACCUGGGAUUGUCUGUGUAAUGCACACUUCUUAAAUGUGGUUCUCUGUUCCCUUGGAGUCUAUGUAUUUGCAUUAUUAACACUUAUAGGCAGUUAAUAUUAUUAAGUUUUAUAACAAAAACUGGAAAUAGUUAAGUUUUGCAUGCUUCCUAGUUUCUCUCCAAUUACUUAUUUAUAUCUAGCUAUUGAUAGCCUACUCCAUAUUUUCAUUAUACCCACGUAAAUCAAUGACAGUUUGUUAAUGAGGGUUACUUAUAAGUAGAACAAACCUAGAGUAUAAAAUGUCCAUAUUCAGUCAAUCUUUUUUUUGUGAUAUCUAGAGAUUUUCCAUGAAAAUCUGCAUGGCUUUCUUGCCUAGCAAAAUUUGAGAUGACAGAUAUUUCUCAGGAUAAAGUUAGCAUGGAAGUUAUGCCAUGCCUGGAUCUUAUCUUGCCCUUUCCGAGUAAACCAGCUCCCAAAUUAACUACUGGCACAUGCUGCAUUGUCAGGCUUAUAUUUGGAAAGCAAACCCUUCUACAGUUUUCUCCUCCCUGACUCAUUCUAUUUCUCUCGUCCUCCCCUUCCUCCUCCCCCUCCAAAAUGUCCUUCCUAUAUUACAGAAAUAUUUAAUGCCUUUUAAAUCUUGAAAAUUAUUUAAUUUAUUGAUUGUUCAUAGUCUUAUAUACGUAAAUAACACAAGGUUGUUCCUUUACUCUCAUAAAAAUAUAAAUAUAAUAUUUACAAUUUUAAAACAUUUUCCUAGUUACUCUGCAUCAAGGAUAGCUGUAGAAUUUAAAGUGUAGGAUAUUUUGUUGAGACAUUUCUGAGUUAUGACUUGUGAGUACAAAAAGGUUCCAAGCCUGCAAGUUCAAGUGACCCGAACAGCUGCAUAGAAACCUACUGACUUGAGCAAGGCUUUGCAUAAGUUCAGGGAUCCAGCUGGAAAACUCUAAGUCUACAUCAUAAAAUGCUGACAGGGCAGGAGGUUGGGGGAUUGUUUCAUCAUAAAACCCUAACUCAGUAGUGGCUAAAUAUAUUUUCAUUCAACAAUCCAAAAAGCAAAACAUCAAACAACCUUCAAAAAACCUACAGUUUUUCAGGCUGAUACUAAUAGAGAAAGUAUCAAUGCCAGAUUCACAAGCUAGUAAUUCUUUGAAGAAAUAUUAGUGGGGGAAAAUGGUAUGUCCUACCAUAAUUAUAAAUGUUCCUAGUAAGCAAGUAUUGGAGCACAUCCCAUUUUCAAAAAUAAUUUAAUCCAUAAUAUUCCUUUCAUCGCAGAGCACAAACAAUUGGUAUAUAAAUACUUAUGGGGAAAAGUCCAAAUAUAAAUAUUUGAAGUCUUUGAAAGAAUCCCAAAAUUAAAGUAAUGUUAAAGCAUGUUCUGAGACACCGUUAAUGUUUACAAGUUUCUCCCUUCCUGUUUCUUUUAAAGAAAUGGAUACAUUUUACUAUCCAGCAGAAUCACAAAAGAUUAGUUGUCUAUUAACAAUUAAAACGUGCAGCAGACCUGAGUUGUGCUUCAGUGUUCUAAGAUGCAGUGAAAACAUUCCACUAAAAGUCUUUAAUCCUAGAUAGGGUGCUAACAUGUAAUUCACAAUAAACAAAGCAAAAACAAAACUGAUAAGCUAUUAUUUUAAAUUAUAUUUGCUAAAUACUGUACGAAAAUAAACUUUGCAGCUUCUAUUUAAGUAGCCAAAUUCUGCUCUCAGUUGCAAAACAGUAAAUCUGUACUAACUUUGCUAACUUUAAUGGAAUUAAUUCGGGGGUGGGGGGGUGCAACAGAAAACUGAAAACAUUGUUCGACUUGCUGCUAUCAUGAAUUUUGUCUAUUUAUCCUAUCUAAAAAAGUUUACAAAAAUAAAGUGCUACUUAGGAAAAAAUUUUUUGAAAAUGAACAAGGAAUAUAUAAAGCUUUUUAAGAGCCAGGACCAAAAUAAAAACUGGGGUGUAACUUCAGUAUUUAAUGUACACAAUACUAUAUUGAUUUAUACCAGCCAGGGAUCUGACCCCUGUAAUCCAUGUAGAUGCUUGCAACUGAAACAAAUCCAUUUGAAAUGUAUGGAAGUCUUUUCAAUAGGAUUUGGUCAGGCCACUUACUGAAGAACAAGAACAAUUCCAUUACAAAAUGCACUCUCUUCAUUUAUUUUUACAAUAGUAGUUUAGUUUUAUUUCUAGAUCAUAAAACUACUUGCAAAUAUAGAAUCCGCAGUAUAUGUGCAGAAAAUAAGAGCAUCUUAGUAAUGUGAUUACUUUCUACAGCAAUUUGGUUUCAUCUUUGCUAAAAAGUAAGAAAAUGCUACUUUUCAUACACUAUUCAGAUUAAUAGUUUCCUAAGUUAUUUUUUGGAUAGUACUGAUUUAGCAGAUAUGCAUAUACUGUAGAUAAAAGUGACAAAGUCACAAAAAGAACAAGAAAAAAAAAAUUGGCCUAAAGUUUGGAAGUCAUCUAGUCAAUUGGCAAAAAAUCAAUACAAGGCUCAUUCUUCUAUUGGAAGGGAGGAAAAAGGGGAGAGAAGAAACAAGCAAGCAUUAGGAUUUUCUUAAAAGAAGCCCGGAUUUUCUAAGCAUGUGAUGCAUCUGAAAAAUACAAGUUGUUGAAACAAGUCCAGUCCAGUCAACUGUGUGUCUAAUCAACUGCACAUUGUCACACUGUGCAUAGUUAAUGUAGUUCAAUAGAUAAGAAACAGAGCACAUUAUUUAUUGUUUCUUAUUGCUUGUUUAUAAUUGAUUUAUGUACAUUAAAAUGUACCA